GAUGAACGCUGGCGGCGUGCUUAACACAUGCAAGUCGAACGGACAGGCCCUGCUUGCAGGGUUCUCGCGUGGCGAACGGGUGAGUAACUCGCGGGUUAUCUGCCCUGCACUUCGGGAUAAGCCUGGGAAACUGGGCCUAAUACCGGCCAGGAGCUAUUUUUAGCGUGAUGGUUGGAAAGUUUGUUCGGUGUAAGAUGAGAGUGCGGCCUAUCUGCUUGUUGGUGGGGUAAUGGCGUACCAAGGCGGCGUCGGGUAGCCGGCCUGCGAGGGGGGACAGCCACAAGGGGACUAAGAUACGCCCCAGUCGCCAACGGGAGGCAGCAGUGGAGAACAUGGCGCAGCGGGCGCAAGCCAGAUGCGGCGACGCCGCGUGCGGGAUGACCGCCUACGGGUUGUAAACUACUGUCUCUGGAGACAAAGCUUUUUUUGACGGUACCAAGAAAAGAGGCACCGCCUAACUACGU
rnacentral:rRNA from 1 species